ACGUCACGACUGCGCUUGGCCCGCUGUUCCUUCGACUGCUGAUUCCUCUCCAAUGAGGAUCGCUGAAACAGUAGGGCUUGACAAGCUAGAAAUGAUACGAAUGCUUUCUCCUUGCCGGAACAGAAGACUGCAGAUGCGCACCCUGAUGAGUUAGUUCUAACUGGACACGAGACCGACUCACGGCCAUUUUCCAGCUUCUCUUAUAGCUAAAUGGACAGGGAAUAUGGAUGCCUCUCCUUCCUUCUGGCUGGACAGUGGAGUGAUGACACUAUCCUGACCCGAGGGCCAGUGCUGUAUAUGGCGGAGCAUGAGAUAGAGAGGGCCUGGGACCUUGAAGACUGUGAACCCUGUGUGAAGAGCAGCUGGUACUGUCGAUUUGGAAAGC
rnacentral:lncRNA from 1 species